UUCCUUGGGUAUUUCUGGAUGGGUAAGGA
rnacentral:piRNA from 1 species